CCUACGGGCGGCUGCAGUGGGGAAUAUUGGACAAUGGGGGCAACCCUGAUCCAGCCAUGCCGCGUGUGUGAAGAAGGCCCUCGGGUUGUAAAGCACUUUCAGUGAGGAAGAACGCCUGGUGGUUAAUACCCAUCAGGAAAGACAUCACUCACAGAAGAAGCACCGGCUAACUCCGUGCCAGCAGCCGCGGUAAUACGGGGGGUGCGAGCGUUAAUCGGAAUUACUGGGCGUAAAGCGCGCGUAGGUGGCUUGAUAAGCCGGUUGUGAAAGCCCCGGGCUCAACCUGGGAACGGCAUCCGGAACUGUCAAGCUAGAGUGCAGGAGAGGAAGGUAGAAUUCCCGGUGUAGCGGUGAAAUGCGUAGAGAUCGGGAGGAAUACCAGUGGCGAAGGCGGCCUUCUGGACUGACACUGACACUGAGGUGCGAAAGCGUGGGUAGCAAACAGGAUUAGAUACCCCUGUAGUC
rnacentral:rRNA from 1 species